rnacentral:lncRNA from 1 species
GUUAUUUCAAUAGCAACACUUGCAAGUUUGAGCCCAGAAACUUGCAGCAAGUUACAAGAGGGUGGGAAGGUUCGAUGGAGUUGAUGGAGAUCAAGAUAUAAGGGUCGGACGGGGAGGAACUUAAGAUCUGACCCUUAAUCUAGAGGGAUAGAUGUGCUAGUGGUCCUCAGACGUAACGCGGAAAAGUCCCCAAGUUUUAUACCUACACCCUCGGUUCAAGGAAAAAGAUACAGCCGAGCCCUCGGGCGAGGCGGAGAAGGGUCGGCAGAACAGAUAGGGUCGGGCGAGACGGAACCGGGGUCGGGCGGAUAGGAGG